rnacentral:rRNA from 1 species
CUAUACAUGCAAGUCGAGCGGACAGAAGGGAGCUUGCUCCCGGAUGUUAGCGGCGGACGGGUGAGUAACACGUGGGUAACCUGCCUGUAAGACUGGGAUAACUCCGGGAAACCGGAGCUAAUACCGGAUAGUUCCUUGAACCGCAUGGUUCAAGGAUGAAAGACGGUUUCGGCUGUCACUUACAGAUGGACCCGCGGCGCAUUAGCUAGUUGGUGAGGUAACGGCUCACCAAGGCGACGAUGCGUAGCCGACCUGAGAGGGUGAUCGGCCACACUGGGACUGAGACACGGCCCAGACUCCUACGGGAGGCAGCAGUAGGGAAUCUUCCGCAAUGGACGAAAGUCUGACGGAGCAACGCCGCGUGAGUGAUGAAGGUUUUCGGAUCGUAAAGCUCUGUUGUUAGGGAAGAACAAGUGCAAGAGUAACUGCUUGCACCUUGACGGUACCUAACCAGAAAGCCACGGCUAACUACGUGCCACCAGCCGCGGUAAUACGUAGGUGGCAAGCGUUGUCCGGAAUUAUUGGGCGUAAAGGGCUCGCAGGCGGUUUCUUAAGUCUGAUGUGAAAGCCCCCGGCUCAACCGGGAAGGGUCAUUGGAAACUGGGAAACUUGAGUGCAGAAGAGGAGAGUGAAAUUCCACGUGUAGCGGUGAAAUGCUUAGAGAUGUGGAGGAACACCGGUGGCGAACGCGACUCUCUGGUCUGUAACUGACGCUGAGGAGCGAAAGCGUGGGGAGCGAACAGGAUUAGAUACCCUGGUAGUCCACGCCGUAAACGAUGACUGCUAAGUGUUAGGGGGUUUCCGCCCCUUAGUGCUGCAGCUAACGCAUUAAGCACUCCGCCUGGGGAGUACGGUCGCAAGACUGAUACUCAAAGGAAUUGACGGGGGCCCGCACAACCUUUGACACANUUGAGUUNAUUCACAGCNNNCGCCAAAAAGCUUAUCACAGGCUUUGCUGCUNCUGACAACACUAGAGA